rnacentral:rRNA from 1 species
CAAAAAAGUUAGAUGUGAAAUCCCUGGGCUCAACCCAGGAACUGCAUUAAAAACUAGUGAUCUAGAAAUUGGUAAGGGUUAGUAGAAUUUCCAGUGUAGAGGUGAAAUUCGUAGAUAUUGAAAAGAAUACCAGAAGCGAAGGCGACUAACUAGGCCAUUUUUGACGCUGAGAUACGAAAGCGUGGGUAGCAAACAGGAUUAGAUACCCUGGUAGUCCACGCAGUAAACGAUGAGUGCUAGUCGCUGGGACAAUAGUUUCAGUGUCGAAGCUAACGCAUUAAGCACUCCGCCUGGGAAGUACGGUCGCAAGAUUAAAACUCAAAUAAAUUGACGGGGGCCCGCACAAGCGGUGGAGCAUGUGGUUUAAUUCGAAGCAACGCGAAGAACCUUACCAGACCUUGACAUGGUGUGUUUGAAUUACAGAAUCGUAAUUCUUCAGUUCGGCUGGCACACACACAGGUGCUGCAUGGCUGUCGUCAGCUCGUGUCGUGAGAUGUUGGGUUAAGUCCCGCAACGAGCGCAACCCUCAUUUUUAGUUGCCAUCAGGUUAAGCUGGGCACUCUAGAAAAACUGCCGGUGAUAAGCUGGAGGAAGGCGGGGAUGACGUCAAGUCCUCAUGGCCCUUACGGUCUGGGCUACACACGUGCUACAAUGGUGGUGACAGAGGGCAGCAAUAUCGCAAGAUAAAGCUAAUCCCAAAAAACCAUCUCAGUUCGGAUUGGACUCUGCAACUCGAGUCCAUGAAGUUGGAAUCGCUAGUAAUCGUAGAUCAGCGUGCUACGGUGAAUACGUUCUCGGGCCUUGUACACACCGCCCGUCACGCCAUGGGAGUUGGUUUUACCUUAAGCCGGUGCGCUAACCGUAAGGAAGCAGCCGUCCACGGUAGGGUCAGCGACUGGGGCGAAGUCGUAACAAGGUAACCGUAGGGGAACCUGCGGUUG